CCUACGGGAGGCAGCAGUGGGGAAUAUUGCACAAUGGGGGAAACCCUGAUGCAGCGACGCCGCGUGAGUGAAGAAGUAUUUCGGUACGUAAAGCUCUAUCAGCAGGGAAGAAAAUGACGGUACCUGACUAAGAAGCCCCGGCUAACUACGUGCCAGCAGCCGCGGUAAUACGUAGGGGGCAAGCGUUAUCCGGAUUUACUGGGUGUAAAGGGAGCGUAGACGGCAGCGCAAGUCUGGAGUGAAAUCCCAUGGCUUAACCGUGGAACUGCUUUGGAAACUGGGCAGCUAGAGUGCAGGAGAGGUAAGCGGAAUUCCUAGUGUAGCGGUAAAAUGCGUAGAUAUUAGGAGGAACACUAGUGGCGAAGGCGACUUACUGGACUGUAACUGACGUUGAGGCUCGAAAGCGUGGGGAGCAAACAGGAUUAGAUACCCCAGUAGUC
rnacentral:rRNA from 1 species